CCUCCUCGAUCUGCUGCGGGCAGAUGAAAUGGAUAUGCGUGUCGAAGCCGCCGGCGGUGACGAUCUUGCCUUCGCCGGCGAUCACCUCCGUGCCGGGACCAACGAUAAUGUCGACGCCGGGCUGGGUAUCGGGAUUGCCGGCCUUGCCGAUCUUGACGAUGCGGCCGCCACGCAGACCGAUAUCGGCUUUGACGAUGCCCCAAUGAUCCAAAAUCACCGCAUUGGUGAUCACGGUGUCCACCGCGCCUUGUGCGCGUGAGAGUUGCGACUGGCCCAUGCCGUCGCGG
rnacentral:sRNA from 1 species